rnacentral:rRNA from 1 species
AUGGUGAUGGAGGUGGUAACCGGUGUCAUGGGAAGACUACUUCCCAAGCUGGUCGAGCUGGUCGCGGGUGAGUACAAGCUACAGAAGGGCGUCAAGGAAGACGUUGAGUCCCUUAAGAAAGAGAUGGAGAGCAUGCACACUGCCCUUACAGAGGUGGCGGAGGUGCCAAGGGACAGCCUUAAUCGGCAGGUCAAGAUCUGGGCAGAUGAACUGAGGGAGCUGUCGUACGACAUGGAGGAUGUCGUUGACAACUUUCUGCUGUACGUCGAGGGAUCUGAUCCAGCAGCCAACUCGAACAAGCUCAAAUGCCUAAUGGAGAUGAUGACCGGCUAUUUCACCAAAGCCAGCGGCCGCCAUCAGAUCGCCAAUGACAUUAAGGCUCUCAAGAAACUUGCCGAAGAGGUGGCUGCCCGGCGUGCCAGAUGCCAAGUCGGCGGUGUUGUUGUCAAUCCAGCUAACAAAUCCAAGGUUGACCCUCGUAUGCUGGCUUUGUACAAGGAUCAGCAAGAGCUCGUUGGCAUUGAAGCCGCUCGGAUUGAGCUAACCAAGAGGCCGGCACUUGGUGAUGGGAAUGUGUCAAAUCAGCAGCUCAAGAUAGUCUCUAUUGUCGGACCUGGAGGACUCGGCAAGACAACUCUUGCCAAGGCAGUGUACGACAGUCUUGAAACGCAAUAUGUUCACAAAGCUUUUGUUCCGGUGGGUCGAAAUCCUGAAGUGAGCAAAGUUCUCAAGGACAUCCUCUUGGAACUGCGCGUGCGUACCAGCGAUGUAGCCACACUGGAUGAAAGACAACUUGUCGAAAAACUCCGAGAACAACUUCAGAAUGUCAGGUACUUCAUCGUUAUCGAUGACAUAUGGGAUUUGGAAUCAUGGGGAACAAUCAAAUGUGCUUUGUUGGACAACAAUCGUGGAAGUCGAGUAAUCACAACAACUCGCAUUCACGAAGUAGCAGCAAACACGGGUGAUGUCUACAAGCUAGAACCACUUUCUCAUGAUUUGUCUAAAGAACUAUUCUAUAAAAGAUUAUUUGGUGGUAAAGAGAACUGCCCUGAUGAUCUACCUUCUGAGUUAUCUAAAAAAAUUCUACAGAAAUGUGGUGGUGUGCCGCUCGCUAUCAUUGCAAUAGCUAGUUUGUUGGUUGGUAAAAGAGUGGAGGAUUGGUCUAUGGUAUACACCUCUAUUGGUUUUGGAUAUGGAGAUACUAGAGAUAUUGAUGACAUGAGAAGGAUAUUACUAUUUAGCUAUGAUGAUCUACCUUGUUAUCUAAGGCCUUGUCUAUUGCAUCUGAGCAUAUUUGCAGAGGACGCUUUGAUCAUGAAAGAGACAUUGAUAUGGAUGUGGGUGGCCGAAGGCUUUGUCAGUGAAGAGCGAGGGAGAGGGUUAUUUGAGAUUGGAGAGGGAUACUUUAGUGCUCUGGUGAAUAGAAGCCUGAUCCUGCCUGUGGAGAAGAAAGGAAAGAAUGUCAUAUAUGCUUGCCGUGUUCAUGAUAUGGUACUUGAUACAAUUUGUUGGUUAUCGAAGGAAGAAAAUUUUGUUACCAUAGUGGAUGGUAAUGGGAAAUACUCAUCUUCAGAAAGCAAUGUUCGUAGGUUGGCUGUCCAAACAAGAGAGGAAGAGCAGGGCAACCAUUUGGCCAACACAAGAAUGCCAAAAUUAAGGUCAUGUUAUGCCAGCAUCUGUCAUAAAAGUAUGAUGCCACCACUUUUGAGCUUUCAAGUGUUACGUGUUCUAGACAUGAAAAACUGCAUAUUUCUGGAAAACUGUCAUCUUAAGCAUCUUGGAAGGUUACACCAAUUGAGAUACUUGAGUCUGGAGAACACAAAAAUCGAUAUAGGAGAUUUAAAGUUUCUGCAGACACUAGACUUGAGGAACUCCUGGAUACAAGAAUUGCCUCAGGGUACUAGUUUGCUAAGGCAACUUAAGUGCCUGCGUGUUGACAGCAAGCGCUUGCGCAAUCAUAGAAUUGAACAUUUUGGUAUAGAAGUGACGAAUUGGAUAGGGAACCUGAUAACCCUUGAGGAGCUAUCUUUGAAAAUUAGUGGCGAAAUUUCUACCUUCGUUGAAGAACUCGGUAAGCUGACAGAGCUGAGGGUGCUGGACUGUCAUUUAAGGGGAAGUCUGGAUGAUUGUUCUAAGAAAACUUUGGUGGGUUCUGUAUGCAAACUUAAGAAAAUCCAAGUCCUACAUCUUGAGGGCCUCUACGAGUGGUCUGAAAUGGAGGCAGAUACCUACUGGGCAGGCUACAGGCCCCCUCGGGAACUCCGUGUUCUGUCAAUGUCGUGCACUUUCAGUAGGCUUCCGGCGUGGAUUAAUUUCUCGCUGUUGCCGAACCUCUCCAAACUAAAAAUGGAUCUGUGGCAUUUUGAGGAGCCGGAUGUGGUCAAGCUGGGGGGCUUGCCAAAGCUUUGUCACGUGGGAAGUUUGUGGAUAGACCCAUACAUUGAGUUCCCUGAUGGCGCGUUCCCCAAGUUGAGGUACUGCGGGAUACAUGCACCUUUCUGGUUUCUGCCGGGAAGCAUGCGGAGCCUUGAAUACAUUUCGAUGGAGGCAGCUGUGAGGCAAGCAAUCGACAAUCAUCCCAACCAUCCCAUGCUUGAUCUCGACAGGCGUGGUGACUCUCAGUUCCACGACGACGAUGAAAACCGUGUCAGACAAGAGCCGGAUGCGGAGCAGGAGAAGCAAGAUCAGUCCCAUGAAGGCCAGGCGUCGGAUUCCUCCAAGGCAGACCAAAAGCCGGACGACCAACGCGAAGCCAAAGACGUCGACGUUGAUGCAGCGGAGAAGUGCUCAGUCCUCGACGUCCACCCCAGCGGUCCUGUCCCUCGCCUCAGUUUUGGCAUGUCUGCUCCAUCAGCAGCGUGCACAACAACCGCCAGUGUCAGUUGCUCUGCCCAGGCGAUCAACGAGAAGGAGGAGGAAGAAGAAUCGCAGGCAGAUCCACAGGAACAGAUGGUCGAGGAACGCGAAGAAGCCGAGUAUGGGUCAGCAGAGGCGGCUGCACCAGAGAGCCUGCGCACAGUCGAUAUGGCUAGUCUUGUAGAAAGCGGCGAUCUGGAGGACCCAUACCACAAGCCCCGCUACACCACCAAGCAAGCGGCACAGGCGGCGGCGAUGGAGGAGCAAAUCGCAGCGCUGGCGAAGGCGGUCAACGAUAGCCGCGUCGCCAACGACGCCAGGCUCGACCCCAUCCAGACCUCUAUCAAGCUGUGGCGACCUGCGGUCACCAAUCUGCAGCAUCAACUGGACGAACUCCGCUCGCAAGUGGGGUGGAUCGCGCUCCACCCUGCCUUGACCGAUCCACCAUCUCCGUCCGCGGAUCGAGUGGUGAAUGGCACUCCGAUGACAUCCGACAGCCCAGGGCACCAUGGGCCAGGUGGCCACGGCGAGCUCAUCGAUUCUGGGGGAUAG